rnacentral:rRNA from 1 species
AGAGUUUGAUCCUGGCUCAGAAUGAACGCUGGCGGCGUGCUUUACACAUGCAAGUCGAGCGAGGCGGCCCGCAAGGGUCAGUCGAGCGGCGAACGGGUGAGUAACGCGUGGAUAACCUGCCCAGAGGUGGGGGAUAACCCGGGGAAACUCGGGCUAAUACCGCAUGAUACCGAAAGGUCAAAGGCGGCUCGCAAGGGCUGUCGCCAUUGGAGGGGUCCGCGUCCGAUUAGCUAGUUGGUAGGGUAAUGGCCUACCAAGGCGACGAUCGGUAGCCGGCCUGAGAGGGUGAUCGGCCACACUGGAACUGAGACACGGUCCAGACUCCUACGGGAGGCAGCAGUGGGGAAUUUUGCGCAAUGGGCUAACGCCUGACGCAGCAACGCCGCGUGGAGGAUGAAG